AUUGAACGCUGGCGGCAGGCCUAACACAUGCAAGUCGAACGAGUGGCGGACGGGUGAGUAAUGUCUGGUAAACUGCCUGAUGGGGGGGGAUAACUACUGGAAACGGUAGCUAAUACCGCCUACCAUCGGAUGUGCCCAGUUGGGAUUAGCUAGUAGGUGGGGUAAUGGCUCACCUAGGCGACGAUCCCUAGCUGGUCUGAGAGGAUGACCAGCCACACGGGACCUGAGACACGGUCCAGACUCCGACGUAAGGCAGCAGUGGGGAAUAUUGCACAAUGGGCGCAAGCCGGCUGCACCCAUGCCGCGUGUAUGAAGAGGGCCUUCGGGUUGUAAAGUACUUUCAGCGGGGAGACGUUACCCGCAGAAGAAGCACCGGCUAACUCCGUGCCAGCAGCCGCGGUAAUAC
rnacentral:rRNA from 1 species